rnacentral:rRNA from 1 species
GACGAACGCUGGCGGCGUGCUUAACACAUGCAAGUCGAACGGUGAAGGGGUCUGCUUUUGUGGGCCCUGGAUGAGUGGCGAACGGGUGAGUAACACGUGAGUAACCUGCCCCCUUCUUCUGGAUAACCGCAUGAAAGUGUGGCUAAUACGGGAUAUUCUGGGUCUGUCGCAUGAUGGGUCUGGGAAAGAUUGCGCCUUUGGGUGUUUUUGGUGGGGGAUGGGCUCGCGGCCUAUCAGCUUGUUGGUGGGGUGAUGGCCUACCAAGGCGGUGACGGGUAGCCGGCCUGAGAGGGUGGACGGUCACACUGGGACUGAGACACGGCCCAGACGCCUACGGGAGGCAGCAGUGGGGAAUAGUGCACAAUGGGCGCAAGCCUGAUGCAGCGACGCCGCGUGAGGGAUGGAGGCCUUCGGGUUGUAAACCUCUUUCGCCAGUGAAGCAGGCCUGCUCCUUGUGGGUGGGUUGACGGUAGCUGGAUAAGAAGCGCCGGCUAACUACGUG